ACGCACGCUGGCGGCGUGCUUCACACCUGCCAGUCGAACGGAAAGGCCCUGCUUUUGUGGGGUGCUCGAGUGGCGAACGGGGGAGUAACACGUGAGUAACCUGCCCUUGACUUUGGGAUAACUUCAGGAAACUGGGGCUAAUACCGGAUAGGAGCUCCUGCUGCAUGGUGGGGGUUGGAAAGUUUCGGCGGUUGGGGAUGGACUCGCGGCUUAUCAGCUUGUUGGUGGGGUAGUGGCUUACCAAGGCUUUGACGGGUAGCCGGCCUGAGAGGGUGACCGGCCACAUUGGGACUGAGAUACGGCCCAGACUCCUACGGGAGGCAGCAGUGGGGAAUAUUGCACAAUGGGCGGAAGCCUGAUGCAGCAACGCCGCGUGCGGGAUGACGGCCUUCGGGUUGUAAACCGCUUUCGCCUGUGACGAAGCGUGAGUGACGGUAAUGGGUAAAGAAGCACCGGCUAACUACGUG
rnacentral:rRNA from 1 species